CCCCAGAAGCGGGGGGAUAACACCUGGAAACAGAUGCUAAUACCGCAUAACAACUUGGACCGCAUGGUCCGAGUUUGAAAGAUGGCUUCGGCUAUCACUUUUGGAUGGUCCCGCGGCGUAUUAGCUAGAUGGUGGGGUAACGGCUCACCAUGGCAAUGAUACGUAGCCGACCUGAGAGGGUAAUCGGCCACAUUGGGACUGAGACACGGCCCAAACUCCUACGGGAGGCAGCAGUAGGGAAUCUUCCACAAUGGACGAAAGUCUGAUGGAGCAACGCCGCGUGAGUGAAGAAGGGUUUCGGCUCGUAAAGCUCUGUUGUUAAAGAAGAACGUGGGUAAGAGUAACUGUUUACCCAGUGACGGUAUUUAACCAGAAAGCCACGGCUAACUACGUGC
rnacentral:rRNA from 1 species